rnacentral:rRNA from 1 species
CCUCAGUAACGGCGAGUGAAGCGGCAACAGCUCAAAUUUGAAAUCUGGCUCUUUCAGGGUCCGAAUUGUAAUUUGCAGAGGAUGCUUUGGGUGCGGGCGCCUUCCGAGUUCCCUGGAACGGGACGCCAUAGAGGGUGAGAGCCCCGUCUGGUAGGAUGCCCAGCCCGUGUAAAGCUCCCUCGACGAGUCGAGUAGUUUGGGAAUGCUGCUCUAAGGGGAGGUAUACUCCUUCCAAAGCUAAAUACCGGCUGGAGACCGAUAGCGCACAAGUAGAGUGAUCGAAAGAUGAAAAGCACUUUGAAAAGAGAGUCAAAUAGCACGUGAAAUUGUUGAAAGGGAAGCGCUCGCUACCAGACUUGGGUACGCGGUUCCGUAGGUGCUCCGCACCUGCGUACUCCUCGUGCCCAGGCCAGCAUCAGUUCUUCGUCGGGUUAAAAGGCUUCGGGAAUGUGGCUCGCCUCGGUGAGUGUUAUAGCCCGUUGUGUCAUGCCCGGUGGGGGACUGAGGUACGCGCUCCGCAAGGAUGCUGGCGUAAUGGUAGCUAGUGACCCGUCUUGAAACACGGACCAAGGAGUCAACCUUAUGUGCAAGUGCCCGGGCGUAAAACCCCAGCGCGGAAUGAAAGUGAACGUAGGUGAGAGCUUCGGCGCAUCACCGACCGAUCCUGAUGUCCUCGGACGGAUUUGAGUGUGAGCAUAUAGGGUUGGACCCGAAAGAAGAUGAACUAUGCGUGUGUAGGGUGAAGCCAGAGGAAACUCUGGUGGAGGCUCGCAGCGGUUCUGACGUGCAAAUCGAUCGUCAAACAUGCGCAUGGGGGCGAAAGACUAAUCGAAUCUUCUGGUAGCUGGUUUCCGCCGAA